ACGAAUGCUGGCGGUGUGCUUCACACAUGCAAGUCGAACGGGGUAGCAAUACCUAGUGGCGGACGGGUGAGUAACACGUAGGAAUCUGCCUUUAGGCGGGGGAUAACAAUCCGAAAGGAUUGCUAAUACCCCAUGUGCAUACACCUCGACAGGGGUGUAUAUGAAAGGAGCAAUCCACCUGAAGAUGAGCCUGCGUCCGAUUAGCUAGUUGGUAGGGUAAAAGCCUACCAAGGCGACGAUCGGUAGCUGGUCUGAGAGGAUGAUCAGCCACAAUGGAACUGAGACACGGUCCAUACUCCUACGGGAGGCAGCAGUGGGGAAUUUUACGCAAUGGGCGAAAGCCUGACGUAGCGACACCGCGUGAGCGACGAAGCCCUUUGGGGUGUAAAGCUCUGUCGGCUGGAACGAAAAAAAUGACGGUACCAGCAAAGGAAGCAUCGGCUAACUACGU
rnacentral:rRNA from 1 species